rnacentral:rRNA from 1 species
GACGAACGCUGGCGGCGUGCUUAACACAUGCAAGUCGAACGGAAAGGCCCUGCUUGCAGGGUGCUCGAGUGGCGAACGGGUGAGUAACACGUGGGUGAUCUGCCCCUUACUUUGGGAUAAGCCUGGGAAACUGGGUCUAAUACUGGAUAGGACCAUACUGUAGGUGGUGUGGUGGAAAGAUUAGUUUCGGUAAGGGAUGAGCUCGCGGCCUAUCAGCUUGUUGGAGGGGUAAUGGCCUACCAAGGCGUCGACGGGUAGCCGGCCUGAGAGGGUGGACGGCCACAUUGGGACUGAGAUACGGCCCAGACUCCUACGGGAGGCAGCAGUGGGGAAUAUUGCACAAUGGGCGCAAGCCUGAUGCAGCGACGCCGCGUGGGGGAUGACGGCCUUCGGGUUGUAAACUCCUUUCAGCCAUGACGAAGCCCUUGUGGUGACGGUAGUGGUAGAAGAAGCACCGGCUAACUACGUG